rnacentral:lncRNA from 1 species
CCAUGGUUUUGCUUUCCCAUCUCAGACACCUGUAGUGCCAUCUGUGGCCCCCCAAUAUUAAAUUGGACCAUGUGUGGAGGUGACACCUGUAAUCUCAGCACAUGGGCGCUGAGGUAGGCGAAUAUGGAAUCUAAGGCCAACUUGAGUUACAUAGGGAGACAUUUUCUGGAAACAAAAGUUCCAGAAGUAAAUAAUCAUGCAGUUUUAAAUUGUUCUUCCAAGUGGCAUGAAGAAACCUCCCAGUCUCACCCUGUGCCACCCCAGCCGUGAGUCACCUCUUUGUCUACCAUAUCCAUGCUGUAUAUACUACCCGCCUGUUGGUCACUUAGUAGUCAUCUGUUAUCAGCACGGAUGUUAUACACUAUUACAGUGCUCGCUUUACUUAAGAGGGCCCCAAAGCCAAAGAGCAUUGAUGGCUGGCAAUUCAGAUGCAUCAUGGGAAAGCUGGAAAGUGCUUCUAUUGAGGGCUGGAGAGAUGGCUCAGCAGGAAUGGUGGCAUUACUGGUACCAGAUCUGACUCCCAGCUGGGCAAAGUCUAUGAAACAACAUUGGACAGAUAUGAGACCAUAUGAACCAUGGGGCAGACCUUCAGGGGCAGCAGCAAACAAAGUAAGCUUUAUGAUCACCCUUGGAUGUCAGGACUGCUGUCUGGGAAUGGGGUGGGGGCUCAUGAAGAGUGUGCAAGUCCUGAACAAGAAGAUGGAGAUUUGAGUUCUGGGAGGCUGGUGAGGUAGAGUUUUUCAUGGGGAAGGAAAGUU